rnacentral:misc_RNA from 1 species
GAUUGGGAGGUGGACAUCGAUGGGCUUGAAGCUCUAGCAGAUGAUAAAACUGUUGCCAUGGUUGUUAUAAACCCCGGUAAUCCAUGUGGGAAUGUGUACGAGCGAGAGCAUUUGAAGAAGAUUGCAGAGGCAGCAAGUAAGCUUGGAAUGCUAGUAAUAUCAGAUGAAGCCUACGGUCAUCUAGUGUUCGGUAGUAAUCCGUUUGUGCCAAUGGGCGUCUAUGGAGAAAUUGCACCUAUUCUGACAAUUGGCUCCAUAUCAAAGAGAUGGAUGGUUCCUGGUUGGCGAUUUGGAUGGAUCGUGAUGUGUGAUCCCAAUGGCAUCCUUCAAAAACAUGGGGUUGCGGAGUCUAUCAAGAACUACCUCAACAUCGGUGUUGGUCCUCCUACAUUCACUCUGGGUGCUAUUCCUCGUAUUCUUGUUGAAACACCUGAAGAUUUCUACUCAAAUAUCAUAAACCUACUGAGAAAAGCAGCAGACAUUUGCUAUGCUGGCCUAAGGGAGAUUCCGUGCUUUACUCCAUACAAGUCACAGGGAUCCAUGUUUCUUAUGGCAAAACUAAACAUGUCAUUGCUGGAAGGCAUCGACAAUGAUAUGGAGUUCUGCACUAGGCUUGCUAGAGAGGAAUCUGCAAUUGUUCUACCCGGAGAAGCGCUUGGAUUGAAGAAUUGGGUAAGAGUUACAUUUGCUGUGGAAAUUUCAGCUCUUGAGGAUGGCCUUAGCAGGAUCAAAGCCUUUUGUUUCAGAAAUGCCAAACAACAAUAAGCCAUUUUUCUUUCUGUCAAACUUUGUCCAAGUCUAACA